ACGUCUCUUAGUUAAGGGACAAAAACAGAACUAAGAGGCGUCCACAUGGCAAAGUGGGUGUUUUUUUUCUCUCUCUCAUUUCCCGAUUUCAUCGAGAAACAGAGAGAAACCGGAGGGGCGAUCGUUUGAUUCCAUCAUUCAAUGGCCGGAAAAGUGCUAUCUUCGGCGCCUUUCAACGCGCCGCCGAUGAUUGUCCAAGAUGCUGACCCGUUACGUUUCCGGGUCGGUGAAGAAGACCCUUAAACCCGUGAAUUCGCAGCUUUUAUCGGCGACCACCACUGGUAUUUCGCGGCAGCAGCAGCAGCCGCCGCAGCUAAUCCACACCUCAUCUAGAAUUCCGUCAGAAUUUCUACUCGGAGGAACCCAUUAUCGGAAACCCUAACGACAGUGGUGGAUCCGACGGCGAAGAUAACGUUGACGUGGAAGAAGAAGACGAGGAUGAUGACAUAGACAGAAAUGAAUGUGACAUCGGCAUGAACAAAGAAGCUGGUGAAAUUUGUAUCAUCAGAUUGAUACUUUUUAAGUUGGAAACCAUUGGAUUGGUAUUGAUCAUGCUUGCGUUUAAUCUAUAGCCUAUUUUGUUGUUAAAUUUGAUUUUCUUUGCACAAUUUUAGAGGGUCUUUGAUGGCUGAUGCUAUGAUUUUACCUUGAGGACACACUUUUGGAGCUGGAGGAAUUGAACAAGUGAAACAGAUGGGACAGAGUUUUGUUUCUGCUAUUUGCAUUUGUCUCUUUUCUUUCGCUUAUGAAGCUAUUUUCCGUUGUGUUCUCUUAGAAAGCUUGCUGCAUAUGUUCACAACCAGUCUCAGAAGAAUCGAUAACCCCAAAUCUCAGGAGUGUUCAUGGAGUAUGAGAGGAAAUUUGUUUGGUGUGUGUGAUGGGAUUCUCUGUUUGGAAAAGAUGCAAGGAAAUUUCCAAAAGGAAAGAUAGUGAUGCUGCAGAAGCAGAUGCGUCAUUAUUAUAACAACAAUUCACGAAUCUUCAUUUGAUUUGCCUUAUCAGUCCAAUGUGAUUUUAGUUUGGCUAGAGUUGCAGACAAGUCAAUUGGCACAUAAGAGUUAAGUGAGCAUUUUAGAUGUUAUGAUCACAAGAUCAGGCUGACACAAGUUUAGGUGACUAAAAUCACUAAGAAGAUUAAGUUCUAGAAGAGGUUUUGAGUUUGAAUGUGUUAGUAACAAUCUUAUGAUUAAUCAAGUUGAAGAGCUUCUCAGAAAACAAGCAAAGUUCUGAUGGCUUCAAUGCACUUCCCAAACGGUAAUUGUAAAGAUACAAGUUCGCUUGUGAUACUCCUAGAUAAAACUUUUAAGUCUUUCACGAAACUCUCAAUGUUUAACAUAUUUGCCUUUGCAAGUAUUUUUAUGUUUGAUCUUAAUUGAGAACAAAAUGCCGUCAUUUUAUGUUUUA